rnacentral:lncRNA from 1 species
GUUGCAGUGGCUGGGGCGCAUCCAUCCAUCACGCCAGUCACAUCUGGGUUGACUAACGCCGCCUGGAGCGCUUCCUCGUGGUCUCGGCUCAGAGCGGCCGCUUCUCAUGGGCCAGGCCAAGAUAUAAGCGGCGCAGAGGAAACACACGUCAGAGCGUUUCUGAAGAAAAUAACGAGCAGUUCCCGAGGCAACCGGCAUGAAAGGCCCAAACAGAGCUGUAAGGCCAUUGGUGUGUGUGUCAGCAAAGAAGAAAUACCUAAUAGGCCUUUACAUAACAGGUACGUUGUAUACAGCAACUCGAAUGACCCCUCGAUUAAACCUGGUGCACAGGCCUGAAAGCCUGGAUCACACUAACCCACAGCAAACAGAGCCUUGAUUUGUGAUCUCGCCCAGGUUCUCCCAGGCCGCUGCCCUGGCAGCUUAAAUUGCUGAUGUUUGUUUUCCAGUGGCCAAAGGAGACGGGGCUGAGUCAUGACAUUCGAGCCGCAAUCAAACUCAAAUCAGUGAUUACUCAGAAGCAACCACCACAAACAAUGAGGAGGAAAGAAAGAAAAAAAAACCCUGCCCGUCGCUUCAGGAGUUUCACCUGGUCACGACUGAGAGGCGCUGGUGUGAUCAGCUCGGCUGAUGGUGAAGUUCACUCCACCCGGCUAUUAUGGCGGGGUUGCUCUCCAGGGACCCCCAACACAGACGCUCGUUUGGAAACCCCAAGCAAGCCUGCAUUUGAGCGAGGGAGAGGAAGAGGGGAAGGAAAGGAUGAAGAGAAGGACAGAACAGCCUUGGCUGCAUCUUCCUGAGUCUGUGAUUUCCAUCCACUGUGAAUGUAAACAAACACAGACAUGAAAGAGGGAAACACAGUCGAGCGGAGAGAAACAUCGGAGGAGGCGAAGGAGGAGAGAAGAAACAGUCGGCCGGCAAAACAUAUCUUGGCAGCAGGCGUGAGAUACAAGUCACCAGCUCAUUAGCUGGUAGCGCUGCCAGAGACGGAGACAAAAAGCACAUGCAGGCUACAAAAGCAGGACUCCAGACACACUGGCACAGACACCACUUCUGUGUUUGCUGCAGCUGCACAAUAAAGAGCCCGGACUGAGGCA